GAGUUACCUUUGAAGUGAGACCUGAAUAACAAGAAGCAGAGGAAGUAACAAGCACAAAGGUGCUGAGUUGAGAAGGGUCAAGCUGUUCAAGAAAUAAGGAGGCUAGGGGAGAAUGCCGUUCCCAUUGCCGGAACCGCUGUCCCCUUCACUCUUGACCCGGGUAAUUCCCGCUCAACCUUCAGAUUUCAGCCCAGACAUCACUCCCUCCAGUAAGCCCUCCUUGACUUCAAGAGCGGGUCUCCCUUCGCCCCCAGCAGAUGACUGGCCUGUUCCUAGGAUGUAGGGGUCUGUGUUUACCAGACUCGUGUAGUUCAAGGGAGGGAGUGACGGGAUAAGGGAUGCAGGGGGGCGCGUGAUCUCUGCCCGGUGAGAAAGCGAAGCCAACUUUCAAUUUCUCAAGUACAGAUCAAUGCUUGGGGAGCGACAGCAGCGCGCAGAGCGGCCGAUCCCAGGGCGGAAGUGCGUCCUUGGAGCCUUUCUAGGAAACUCGGAGGACCUAGCUCGUCAGUGAUCCUGGGGCUGAAGUGGGGCAUCGCCAGGCGCACAGGGCCACUUCAGAGAGGUGGUGUGGCAGGGCAGCGGCGAGAUGGGGCUAGGGUGAGCGCGAGAACCGUCGCAAAGCAAGCCUGGAAAGGGUGAGAAGACCCCGGCCUGCCGACCACCUGUUCCUCCUGGGAGUGCGGCGCGCGUUGAUUGGCUGGAGUGCCGCCCGGGUACCGGAAGUGGCUGAUGCCCAUAGCCAGUGAAACCCAGACAACAGCUGCGGGUUCUGAGGCAGCGGGCGGAGCAGCGCGGGGAGCCCGAGGGGAGCGUGUGUGGGGCGGUAGCUGCCUGAGAUUGUGAGAUGGGGACUGAGAACAAGGAGGUAAUUCCCAAGGAAGAAAUUUCUGAAGAAUCUGAACCACAUGGGGCAAUAUUAGAAAAACUUCCAAAGGUGGUUUAUCAGGGUCACGAGUUUGGAGAAGCAUGUGAAGAAGACAUAUUGGAGGAGCAUUCCAGAGAGUCCACAGAAGAGGUUCUGGAGCAGGUGUCCCCUGAGGAGAGAGACUUUGCAUCAGGGUUAAUUAUCUUUAAGAAAUCACCCUCAAGUGAGAAAGACCAUGAGAAUAAUGAAAGUGAGCGAGCCUACAAUCCUAGCUCAAACCUGAUCACGUACCAGGGAGAUACUACGGCAGAGGCAGUUAGCACAUUUGCUGCUUCUGGCCAAAACUUCAUAGAGAAUUUAGGACCUAAUAAAACACAUAGAAAUUCUCUGGGAGAAAAGCCUCAUACAUGUAAAGAAUGUGGGAAAGCCUUUAAUCAAAACUCACAUCUUAUUCAGCAUAUGAGAGUUCAUAGUGGAGAGAAACCCUUUGAAUGCAAAGAAUGUGGAAAAACAUUUGGAACUAACUCAAGCCUUCGAAGGCACCUGAGAAUUCAUGCUGGAGAGAAGCCCUUUGCUUGUAAUGAAUGUGGAAAGGCCUUCAUUCAGAGUUCACAUCUCAUCCACCAUCACAGAAUUCACACUGGAGAGAGACCUUAUAAAUGUGAAGAAUGUGGUAAAGCCUUCAGUCAGAAUUCAGCCCUUAUUCUACAUCAGAGAAUCCACACUGGGGAGAAACCAUAUGAAUGUAAUGAAUGUGGGAAGACCUUUAGGGUUAGCUCACAGCUUAUUCAGCAUCAGAGAAUUCAUACUGAAGAAAGAUAUCAUGAAUGCAAUGAGUGUGGCAAAGCCUUCAAGCAUAGCUCAGGCCUCAUUAGACACCAGAAAAUUCAUACUGGAGAAAAACCCUAUCUGUGUAAUGAAUGUGGGAAAGGCUUUGGUCAGAGUUCUGAGCUCAUCCGGCAUCAAAGAAUUCAUACAGGAGACAAACCGUAUGAAUGUAAUGAAUGUGGGAAAACUUUUGGCCAGAACUCAGAGAUUAUUAGACAUAUUAGAAUUCAUACUGGUGAGAAGCCCUACGUAUGUAAGGAAUGCGGGAAGGCCUUUAGGGGAAACUCAGAACUUCUUAGACAUGAGAGAAUUCACACUGGAGAGAAACCCUAUGAAUGCUUUGAGUGUGGAAAGGCCUUUAGGCGGACCUCUCACCUUAUUGUCCACCAGAGAAUUCAUACUGGAGAGAAACCUCAUCAGUGUAAUGAAUGUGCCAGAACCUUUUGGGAUAACUCUGAGCUGCUUCUCCACCAGAAAAUUCACAUUGGAGAGAAACCUUAUGAAUGUAAUGAGUGUGAGAAAACAUUCAGCCAGCAUUCCCAACUUAUCAUACAUCAGAGGAUUCACACUGGAGAGAAGCCUUAUGAGUGCCAAGAAUGUCAGAAGACCUUUAGUCGGAGUUCUCAUCUCCUCCGACAUCAAAGUGUUCACUGUAUGGAAUGAUCUGCAAAGCAUGAAAGCCUUCUGUGGAAAAGCUGAAGUCAGACUUAUUGUUCUCAGUCUGUACCCCAAGUUCUCAGAUCAAAUGAAUGGACAGAACCUCCUCUGUCCUUUUACUGAUUUUUAUUUAAACAGUUGGUCAAAAAGGAUGAGGCACUUUUAUGAACUAUUCAUUGAGAAGUUUCAGUGUACUGAGUUAAAUCAUAAAAGCUGUUUCAGGCCUUAAUUCUCCACUAUCCCUUUUUCCUUUCCUUCCUCCCUCCCCACUAGUGGAUCACAUAACAUUAGGGGUCUUUACUGGCCAUCUAGCCCAAAUUGUUACUGUUCAGGAAAAAUGGAGGAACAUGAUUCCACCACUUCCUAGGAAUGACAGAGUUGACCCCUCGAAUAUUACCCCUGAAAUGUUAAAGUCAUGGCCUAGAAGACACACCUCUCUCUUUCCCACUGUUUAGCAUUGGAAUUUAGUAAGCUUUUAUUAGCUUCAAAAUCUUCCAAACUUGCUAUCAAGUUCCCUUGGAAGAUGGCAGCAUUAAUGAAGAAGCGGGAAGCUUGGGUCAUUUCCCAUCUCCUGCUAGGCUUCCUUAGUCAUCUGAGAGGGUGCCAUGAUAGAGGAAACUGACAAGCAAUUUAUAGGAUUGUAAGUGAAGGCCCUCAGAAUCCAGAGGGGCUGAUUAGCAAGGCCAGGGGAUAAACAAGUGGGGCCAGACUACUCAGCAUGGGCAGAAGCAGCUCUUUUGCAGCUCUUUCUCAUUUCAGGGCCGUUCAGACUGAGUGCUCCCAAGAACUCUGCUGCAUUCACUUUGGGCCCCAGCUUGUGUUGCUGCUGACAGAUCCUGUGUCAGGAAAUAACAAAGAGGACUGCAGCUUCAUUGUCACUAGGUACCUGGCCACGGUGAUGAGCUGGUUCACCUGACUGACCAGGACCCUGCCUUGCCAAAGCACUUAAGCUCCCAUGACCUGGGCCCCACUGCUGGGGUCCCUGGCUAAUAGGCCAGGAUGUGACAGCCUCUUCUCAAUUUGCCCUUGGCUUUGGAAUUCUCUUUCUUCAGCAUUUCUACAUGUGUUUUCUGUGUUCUCUUACGUGUUUUUUUUUUUUUUUCUUCUUCAAGGAAACACAUCCUCAAUUUUUCAUGUGUCAAUGUUUCUGAGGCAGUGAAUGGUAGUGGGAAUUGCACUAACGGGGAUCCAGCUUGCUUGGGGUCUGGUCUUAGAACUAGACCUUGAAUAAGGCACUUCACCUGCUGAUCCCUAAUUUCCUCAUCUGUAAAAUGAGGGGAGUUGAACUAAGUGAUCUCAAGUUUCAACUGGCCCAAUAAUUCCUUUUUUCUUUUAAAAAAAUUUAACUUUAUAUAUCUUCAGUGUUUUAUUCUUUAAUCUCUUUAUUACACUAAUACUAAUCACUAGUAUUUAUUGAAUUUUUACUAUGUGCCAGGCACAGUGCCAGACAGUUUACAUUUUUGUUUUCACAGCCUCCCUAUGGUAUGGGUACUCUUUUUUUAAAAACAAACAAAACGGCUUUAUUGAGGUAUAAUUUGCAUACCAUAAAAUUCACCUGUUUAAGUGUUCAGUUGAAUGCUUUUUAGUUAAUUUACAGAGUUGCACAACCAUCAGUGAUGUAGGUUCUCUUACACCAAUUUGAAAGGUGAGGGGCAGGGGAGAAGUCAAGUAACUUGCCCAUGAUCACACAGCUGGUAAGUGCUAGAGCCAAGACUCCAGCCCUGAGCUGUGCUCCUAAGCACUGUGUUGUACUGUGAAUAGGUGCAUGCAUUACUGCCUUAUUCGAAAUCCUUUGUACAUUUUCUAUUCCUUAUUAAUUACUACAUGAAUUUGAAUAUAAUGGAUUUAAAUCAUGUCCUUGGAAACAUAAUUGGUCAUAGCCAAAACCCAUCAAGUGGGUUUAUUCUGUACCCCAAUAUGUGCCCCCACCCCCGGGCUCAUGCUCUUGGCUUGAGAAAAGGGCUGUACAAGUAAAACAGUUGAUGGGGACUUUCUUGGCAGUUCAGUGGUUAAGACUUUGCCUUCCAAUGCAGGGGUGUGGGUUCGAUCCCUGGUCGGGGAGCUAAGAUCCCACAUGCAUCAAGGCCAAAAAACCAAAACAUAAAGCAGAAGCAAUAUUGUAACAAAUACAGUAAAGACAAAAAAAAGUCCAUCUCAAAACAAACAAAAAAGCUGAUUACACAGUUUCCACAUCCUUCCAGGUACCUCUGUCUCUAGUAGUUAGACGUUAGUAGAAGUUCUUUAACUCAUCUCUUUCCAUAGGGUGUUUACAAGUGCAGUGUGCUCUCAUUCCUUUUUUCAUCACUCAAGCUCAAAUUGAAUUAUACCCAAACAUAUCUUUCUCAUGUGAAACCUGGAUGUUACUUAUUCCCUUAACUUCUUAUUCCUGUGUUUGAAUAUUUUAUUUGCACAUUCACCCCUUGCCAGCCCUUAAUAUAGAACUCAGCACCUCUUCAAGCUCCCCAGAAAGGAUCCCGUCACAGAAACAUAUCCAUGAGUAAUACGGACUCUACUCAAGAUUCUGGUGUGUAAGAGGUGGAGAAGGGGGUUUGUAUCCUACUAGACAUCUCGUUCUCAGCAGUCCCUUCUUUGCCAAACUGCCACUGAAGGUUUUUCUCUUUGUCCUCCCCUCUCAGGGCUGUCACCUCAGCUCCUUUUUAGGCCCUUCAAUAACAGACUGCUCAUUGGAACACUAGAAGGCAAUUUAGUGACCAAUUCUUGUUGUGCCUGAUCAUAUUAGGGGAAGAAGUUCUCACCUCUCAUUCUAAGAAGAAUUUUCCAACAUAUAUUAAUUCUUUCCCAAGAGAAAUUCUGACAGUGUUUUCAUCGGUGGACCCAACUUUGCCGGCACCGACGAACCUCUAAGUCAUCGAAAGCGCUCGGCCACCACUGCCUCCGGGACCAAGAGGUACUGAUAAGAGCCUCAUCGAGCCCUGAGGCUGGGGCCGCUCUCGGAAGCCUGGGGACCCUUGUCCGUGCGCCACCUGGCGGGCGGGGGCGGGCCAGGGCGGCGCGCGGCGUGAUUGGUCGAGGCCCGGGGUGCCUUUUUGCUGGUGACCGGUGGGGGCCGGAGGCUGAGGUGCGAGGGCCCCGAGAGUGGGCUACUGCGCGCUGCUGACCCCGAAGUCAAGUACUGGGGCGCCCGCCGGACGGGACCUGGGCUGGCGUCUCUCAGGCCGCCGUGAUUUGUCGUUUGUGAGGACGUUUCACAUCCCAGGGUGGGAUCUAUUCCGCCGUUCCCUGAUGUUCAUGGAGUCCUUGCCGCGGCCCAGGUUCUUUCGAAUUUCCAACCAGGCCAAUUAAGAUACUUAUCUAAUAACUAAUUAUUAAAAUUUAAUUUAGUGGCAGUGGGAAAGGACAUACUCAAGGUACAGAAGGCAGGUUUUGCUUCAGAAAGAAGGAAGAAAGCACUAUCCUCUGAGGCUGCUGGAGGAACUGAGACGACAGAUGUGGAGGGAAUGAGCGCAGGGUGGCCAGCAGAGUUGAUUAUUUGAGGCCUUUUGCUAAGAAGGGUGAUUAAGCAUUGGAGUGGGCAGAUUACCCAAAACAUCAUCUAGAAAGGAGAAAAAUGCUUCUGUGCCCCUGAUCUGCUGGUUAUGUCGGCAUUCUCUGAGCUGGGUUGUGGUGGGGACAGGGCGGAACUUUAGUCACAGGACUAUAAUCCACACUCCACUCCAUUGACUCCCAAGUGGGAGGAAUCCCAGGAGUGCAGCGAAUGUGAGAGAGACCCGAGGGGUCUUCAUGCGGUCGGGUGGAGCUGAGAUUCUCUGCAUCAGAGAGUUCACACUGGUGAGCAACCCUGCUAAUGUAAUGAAUUCCACCUUCAGACAGAAUUCCCACCUUGGAAUUCAUCAGAAAACUUGUACUGGAGAGGCCCUUGGAAUACCAAUGCGGAAAAGCCUCUGAUCAGAACUCUCACCAGUUUCAGCAUCAGAGCAUCCACAGUGCACAGCGAUCUGGGGAUUUACUCACUGUAGGACACUUUCAUUCCGACCUGAAACUUUGCUCUGAUCUUUCCUCUUCUCUACCGAUGUCACUAGACUGGAAAUGCCCUUUGUGCCAGCUAAUUUUGUCCUGCUCCUUGAGGACAGGGCUACCUUGUUGUAGAAGAGCGUAUCGCAUUCAGCCCAGGGUUGCCACUCAAAAAUUAACCAAUGAAUGACUUAAAUAAAUAAGAGGCCAUAAAUGAUGAAUUGGACAUUUCAAAUUUAAUUAACUGAAUGUAGGAUCAUAAUGCCUUUGCUGUCCUUUAUUUUUCUAUGCAGAUCCUUUAUCCCCUAAAAUGAUGGCCAUGGCAUUAAAGGUCUAUAUCACCCAUCUAAUAUAAAUUAUAUCUCUUUAUGUGAUAUGGGGACACGUAAAAUGUUAAACAUUGAACCAAAACCUUUCUUUAGCUGAGGGAAUUGAUCCACUAUACGAUUUACUCAAAUACAAGAUAGCCACAGAUUGCUUUAAACACACCUCUUCUCCUUGCAACUUUCAGCACUGAAACAAAACAAAACCCAAAUCAGAUACUUCACCUGUACCAUCCUCAAAAUCUUUCUUUCAUAAGAGGCUUUGUUUACUUCUUGAUCUCGUUUCUGUUUUUAUACAUUAUUUCCAUCUUCUUGGAUAUAUUAUAUUUUUUUCUUCAUGUGAGCUAUAUCUUAAAUGUAUUUGCUGGGAUUCAGUAUUCUUACUUUUGCAGCUGCUUCAGCAUCAUCACAGGCUUAUGUUUUCUUCAUAUGUAGUAGUAUGCUCAGGAUAAUCUUGAAAAUUAGUUGUUCUUGUGUGUUUUGUUUUGUUUUGUUGGCUGAGCCACACAGCUUGUGGGAUCUUAGUUCCCUGAGCAGGGGUUGAACCUGGGCCCUCAGCAGUGAAAGCGUGGAGUCCUAACCACUGGAUGGCCAGGGAAUUCCUUGAAAAUUAGUUUUUAAAUGACUUGUUAUUGAAAGGAUUAGAAUCUAUUGCAGGACAAACCAUAUGUUGGGAGCCUCACUAUCUACAGCAGAACCCUGCCAGGCUGGAUGUUCUGUCCGUUGAAUACAGGCAACGCCUCUUUAACUCCUUUCUUUCUUUCUUUCUUCCUUUCUCCCUUCCUUCCUCCUUCCUCCUUUCUUCUUUCCUUCCUUCCUUCCUUUCUCUUUCUUUCCUUCUUUCUUUCUUCCUUCCUUCCUUCCCUCCUUCCUUCCUCUCUCUCUCUCUCUCUCUCUCUCUCUUUCUUUCCUUCCUUCAUUCCUUUCUACAGAAAUUUAUUUUCUCACUGUUCUGGAGGCUACAAAUCCCAGAUUGAGAUGCCAGCCAAUUUGGUUCCUACUGAGAGCUCUCUUCCUGGCUGUGGGUGACCAUGUUCUCACUAUGUCCUCACAUGGUGGAGGGAGAGGGAGGGAAAGAGGAAAGAAGGAAGAGAGGGAGAGCGGGAGAGCUUCUUUUUCUCUUAAAAUGUUUUCUCAGGUACCUUGGGGAAAAGUGUCCCUUUUUUCUCUCUAUGCCACGUGGACCCGUUCAUUAGCUAGAAAUAAAUUCCAAUUAAGCAAAGAAACAGCAGUAAUGCAGGAAAUGCAAGUGAAUCAAGGAAAAAGUAGCCAUUUGUUUUUAAGGCAAACAACCAAAUAACCAGUGCCACCAGCCUGUAAAGACCCCAAACACACCCAGAAAUCCCUUCAGAAUUCAUCGUGGAUUGUCUAAUCUUGGUUAUUCCCUGAAUUUCAAUUUCCUCAUUCAUAAAGUGGGGAAAAUACCCACGCUUCAAGUUUGUGGGAGUAUAGUACAAAAUGGUAUAUCUGACAGUCCACUGCUUUGUGUAUAGUAGGAGCCCAAUAAAUGCAGUUUCUUUUUCUCUUUUACCCACUUUCUUUCUCCUCUGAUUUACCCCAAGUUAAAGAUGCUUUCCCACAAGCGUUAGAAUUCAAAGAGAAUAAAAAUUGCAUCUUAACCACUACAUUGUACUUAUUUUUAUUUCCUGUUUUUUUUUUUCUUUCUGUGUUUUGUCUUAAAUGUACAUUAUUUCAUCUACCUUAAGGCCACUAAGUAGCCCUUGUGAGUUGACAUGGGAAUCUAAUUACCAUUAUAACACUGUUUCUUUGUCAGGGCCAAUGUAUUAUGUUUGCAGGUCUACCACAGAAGAUUUCUUCCUUUACAAGUGGGAAUUCCAUUGUGAAGUGCUUAUAGGAAAAGUCAAAACUUCUUUCUACUGCUUAUAAGUUUUAGUUCUUGUUUCUAAAAUGAAAUUCCAUAUCUCAGCCAAUUCUGCUGCCUAUGUAUUUAUUACUGGCUUUAAGCAAUUCGAUUUUGAUAGUACCUUGGUGUAUCUGUCUUCACGUUUCUUCUGCUUUGUGUUUGUUGAACUUCUUGGAUCUGUAGAUUUAUAGUUUACAGCAAAUUUGGAAAGUUGUUAGCUGUUACUUCUUCAAAUGUUUUUCUGCUUUCCUCUUUCUUCCCCUUGGGACUCUAAUUACACAUGUAUUAGGUUGAUUAAAGUUGUCUCACAACUUA